rnacentral:rRNA from 1 species
GAUGAACGCUGGCGGCGUGCCUAAUACAUGCAAGUCGAGCGAACAGACGAGGAGCUUGCUCCUCUGACGUUAGCGGCGGACGGGUGAGUAACACGUGGAUAACCUACCUAUAAGACUGGGAUAACUUCGGGAAACCGGAGCUAAUACCGGAUCAUAUAUUGAACCGCAUGGUUCAAUAGUGAAUGACGGUUUUGCUGUCACUUAUAGAUGGAUCCGCGCCGCAUUAGCUAGUUGGUAAGGUAACGGCUUACCAAGGCAACGAUCCGUAGCCGACCUGAGAGGGUGAUCGGCCACACUGGAACUGAGACACGGUCCAGACUCCUACGGGAGGCAGCAGUAGGGAAUCUUCCGCAAUGGGCGAAAGCCUGACGGAGCAACGCCGCGUGAGUGAUGAAGGUCUUCGGAUCGUAAAACUCUGUUAUUAGGGAAGAACAAAUGUGUAAGUAACUAUGCACGUCUUGACGGUACCUAAUCAGAAAGCCACGGCUAACUACGUGCCAGCAGCCGCAGUAA